CUCAAACUAAGAUUUAGAUUUAAAAUGUUAAUUUUUAAUAAGGCAGAAGUUUUCUUUAAGAAAGCUCCAGGAAAAGGUUCUGGUUAGCGUUCAUUGCAGAGCUUUAUAGCUUUCCUCAGGAUCUCUCUAGACCUUCCACAUGCCUUUUCUAAAUACCUUUCUACACAGUCUCAGCAGUACUAUGAUUGACCUCCAAAAGACUUAUUUUUCUGAUCAAAGGAAGACACCAAUUAAGAAAUGGUGGAAAGAUUUCUAAGCAGAAUGAAAAAUACACCAUAGGAAGUGAACUCCUGAGUUGUACUACCAAUCUUCAAAUGUCAUAUGCAGAAAUCUGCCUAAGACUGGCAGACAGAAUCCUGUGGCUCAGAACCAAAGCUGGAAAAAGCAAAACAGGACCGAAGAGUUAACAGCAGCAAGACCUUCUUUCUGCCAUCAAAAUUUUGCAAUAGAGAGAGCACGACUUCCUCUUCUCGUAAGCAGCUCUCCCAGUAACAGUGAAAUCCACACCAUGCUGUAUGCAAGGAGCAGAGGGAAGAGUGCAGCUCGAGCUGGCUCUGGAUCAUGCAUGACAUCCCAAAGCAGAGGUCUGUGCCUGUUCUUCCUCCAUGCCUUCCAACACCAGCAACAUUAGGAUGUCUUUCUUUCACAUGGAUCCCCUCAGUCAUGCAUCCGAUUUCUGGGAGAGAACUAAUCCUGCUAAAAUAACUGAAUUUCUGAGCACGGAAUAAAAUCUCAGACCAAGCUGUUUUCUGUUCCCCC
rnacentral:lncRNA from 1 species